AGAGUUUGAUCCUGGCUCAGAACGAACGCUGGCGGCACGUUUUAAGCAUGCAAGUCGGACGGCAGUGGGGGUAACCCCAUGAGAGUGGCGAACGGGUGAGUAACACGUAGGUGAUCUGCCUUGAGGCUGGGGAUAGCCUGUGGAAACACAGGGUAAUACCGAAUGAGCUGGUCUGGCUAUGGCUGGACUAGGAAAGGUGC
rnacentral:rRNA from 1 species